AACGAACGCUGGCGGCAUGCCUAACACAUGCAAGUCGAACGCCUGUAGCAAUACAGGAGUGGCGCACGGGUGAGUAACGCGUGGGAACCUGCCCUGGAGUGGGGGAUAACCGAGAGAAAUUUCGGCUAAUACCGCAUACGUCCUGAGGGAGAAAGAUUUAUCGCUCUAGGAGGGGCCCGCGUCGGAUUAGCUAGUUGGUGGGGUAACGGCCUACCAAGGCAACGAUCCGUAGCUGGCUGAGAGGAUGAUCAGCCACACUGGGACUGAGACACGGCCCAGACUCCUACGGGAGGCAGCAGUGGGGAAUAUUGGGCAAUGGGCGAAAGCCUGACCCAGCAACGCCGCGUGAAGGAU
rnacentral:rRNA from 1 species